rnacentral:rRNA from 1 species
UAUUUCCUACGGGGGGCAGCAGUGAAGAAUAUUGGUCAAUGGGCGCGCGCCUGAACCAGCCAAGUCGCGUGAAGGAUGACUGCCCUACGGGUUGUAAACUUCUUUUAUAAAGGAAUAAAGUGAGGCACGUGUGCCUUUUUGUAUGUAUUUUAUGAAUAAGGAUCGGCUAACUCCGUGCCAGCAGCCGCGGUAAUACGGAGGAUCCGAGCGUUAUCCGGAUUUAUUGGGUUUAAAGGGAGCGUAGAUGGGUUGUUAAGUCAGUUGUGAAAGUUUGCGGCU